ACGGAAGGCAGCAGUGAGGAAUAUUGGUCAAUGGGCGGAAGCCUGAACCAGCCAAGUCGCGUGAAGGAUGAAGGUAUUAUGUAUUGUAAGCUUCUUUAGUCGCAGGGAAAUAAGGCGGACGAGUCCGCUGAUGCUAGUAUGCGAAGAAUAAGGAUCGGCUAACUCCGUGCCAGCAGCCGCGGUAAUACGGAGGAUCCGAGCGUUAUCCGGAUUUAUUGGGUUUAAAGGGUGCGCAGGCGGUCUUUUAAGUCAGUGGUCAAAUCGUGGGGCUCAACCCCAUCCCGCCAUUGAUACUGGAGGACUUGAUUGCGGUCGAGGUUGGCGGAAUUCGUCGUGUAGCGGUGAAAUGCAUAGAUAUGACGAAGAACACCGAUUGCGUAGGCAGCUGACCAGGCCGUAAAUGACGCUCAUGCACGAAAGUGCGGGGAUCGAACAGGAUUAGAUACCCUGGUA
rnacentral:rRNA from 1 species